rnacentral:rRNA from 1 species
GUUUACCGUGACGAAAUUAGAGUGUUCAAAGCAGGCAGAUCCAAUUUUCUGCCACCGAAUACAUUAGCAUGGGAUAAUGGAAUAGGACCCUGUCCUCCUAUUUUCAGUUGGUUUGCCGCGAGGACCAGGGUAAUGAUUAAUAGGGAUAGUUGGGGGCAUUAAUAUUUAAUUGUCAGAGGUGAAAUUCUUGGAUUUAUGAAAGAUUAACUUCUGCGAAAGCAUCUGCCAAGGAUGUUUUCAUUAAUCAAGAACGAAAGUUAGGGGAUCGAAGACGAUCAGAUACCGUCGUAGUCUUAACCAUAAACGAUGCCGACCAGCGAUUAGGAGACGUUGAAUACAAAACACCACCAUGCGAUUGCGGUCGUCUUUGGUGUCGCUCACAAGGCGGCAUCGGGACGGCUUAGCUCGCAUGGCACCGGUGAAUGACUCCCUAGCAUUGAC